UGGGGAAUUUUGCACAAUGGGGGAAACCCUGAUGCAGCGACGCCGCGUGAUUUAGAAGGCCUUCGGGUUGUAAAAAUCUUUUCUAUGGGAAGAAAAUGACAGUACCAUAGGAAUAAGGACCGGCUAAUUACGUGCCAGCAGCCGCGGUAAUACGUAAGGUCCGAGCGUUGUCCGGAAUCAUUGGGCGUAAAGGGUACGUAGGCGGGUAAGCAAGUUAGAAGUGAAAUCCUAUAGCUCAACUAUAGUAAGCUUUUAAAACUGCUCAUCUUGGGGUAUGGGAGGGAAAGUGGAAUUCCUAGGGUAGCGGUGAAAUGCGCAGAUAUUAGGAGGAAUACCGGUGGCGAAGGCGACUUUCUGGCCAUAACCUGACGCUGAGGUACGAAAGCGUGGGUAGCAAACAGG
rnacentral:rRNA from 1 species